rnacentral:misc_RNA from 1 species
GAUGAAGAACGUAGCGAAAUGCGAUAAGUAGUGUGAAUUGCAGAAUUCAGUGAAUCAUCGAAUCUUUGAACGCACAUUGCGCCCCUCGGUAUUCCGUGGGGCAUGCCUGUUCGAGCGUCAUUUAACCCCUCAAGCCUAGCUUGGUAUUGGGUGCUUGUCCCGCCUCUCGCGCGGCGACUCACCUCAAAGUCAUUGGCAGCCCGCAUCUCGCCGGCCGUGAGCGCAGCACAGACGCGCUCUUGGCAACGACGGAUCGGCUCUCCAAAAGCUUAUUUCAACCACUGACCUCGGAUCAGGUAGGGAUACCCGCUGAACUUAAGCAUACAAUAAGCGGAGGA